CUUCUUCGCUUAGAUAAUGCCAUUUUGCUUGCCUUACAUGGCGCUGUUAUUUUUCGCCUCGUGGAAAAAUACUCGUCUGAGCUUUCCUUACUUUGCAUGUUGGACGAGACAAGCGCUUUAUUUAAGUUGCACCACUCCUCUGGGCCGAGCAAACUAUUUUUAGGAAAACGUUACAUCUUUUUGUUUAGCUGACGGAAUUUGCGCAGUUUUCUUUUCAACAGGCACGUUAGAGCGGUCGUCGUCCGGUGUUGACGGCACAGAUCCCCGUCCCAGCAAACAAAGGAGCAGUAAGAUCGUUGCCCGCUUUUUAGCGCAAUCUAAAAGUAGCAUUAUUGAUUAAAUCAUUUGGAUGUAAACUAGCCCCGACGCCGUUUUAGUUUUUUGUAUUUGAGAAGUCUUUGUCUCAAGUAUAAUAAACAGUUUAGCCUGACUCAUUCAGUCCUGUUAGCGUCAUCGGCUAAGGUUAGCCGAUUCUGUGGACAAUUAGCGAGCUAACCGCUAGCAUUGUUUUGCUUCUGCGAGUAAGUUUUAUUUUUGCGGGGAAAUGGCUGAGGUGUACAUUCGAGUGGCGGAGGAAGAAAAUGAGGAGCCCAUGGAGAUUCCCUCCGAAGACGACGGCACUGUUCUUCUUUCCACCGUGGCGGCUCAGUUUCCUGGGGCUUGCGGCCUGCGGUUCAGGAGCCCCGUGUCUCAGUGCAUGAGAGGAGUGCGACUCGUGGAAGGGGUCCUGCACGCGCCAGAAAAUGGAUGGGGGAAUGUCGUGUACGUGGUGAACUAUCCAAAAGACAAUAAAAGAAAAAUGGAUGAAAUAGAUGCCUCUUCUGCCGUGAAAAUGAAGAGGGGAGAUAUGAAAACAUCGGACCUGAUUGUAUUGGGUCUUCCUUGGAAAACGACCGAACAGGACCUUAAAGACUACUUUAGCACGUUUGGAGAAGUCAUCAUGGUUCAGGUGAAACGGGAUGCCAAGACCGGAAACUCUAAAGGAUUUGGCUUUGUGAGGUUCACAGAGUAUGAAGCUCAGGAAAAGGUGAUCUCUCAGCGCCAUAUGAUCGAUGGGAGGUGGUGCGACUGCAAGCUCCCUAACUCGAAGGUGAAUAUGCAAGGUCCUGAUGAGCCACUAAGAAGCCGCAAAGUGUUUGUAGGCCGUUGCACGGAAGACAUGACCACAGAUGAUCUACGACAGUUCUUUAUGCAGUAUGGAGAAGUCACAGAUGUGUUCAUUCCCAAGCCAUUCCGUGCUUUUGCCUUUGUUACAUUUGCAGAUGAUCAGGUUGCCCAGUCUCUCUGUGGAGAAGACCUUAUUAUCAAAGGAGUCAGUGUUCACAUCUCAAAUGCUGAGCCCAAACAUGGCAAUAGGCAGUUUGAUCGCACAGCACGAUUCGGAAAUGGUUUUGGGGCUCAAGCAUUUGGUAGCAGCCGUAGUGGGUUAGGGAGCAGCACUAACAGUAGUCUGGCUAAUUUUGGUUCCUUCAGCUUGAACCCUGCCAUGAUGGCUGCUGCACAGGCUGCUCUGCAGAGUAGUUGGGGUAUGAUGGGUAUGCUGGCUAGCCAGCAGCAGACAUCCACCUCAGGCAGCACCUCCAGUGGAACGAGCUCUAGUAGAGACCAGAGUCAGUCUUUCAGUACAGGCAACAGUAACUACGGCACCAGCUCAGCCAGUCUUGGCUGGGGAACAGGGUCAAACUCUACAACCAGCGGUAGUGGGUUUAGCUCAGGUUUUGGGUCCAGCAUGGAGUCAAAGUCAUCUGGGUGGGGUAUGUAAGUUAAGUGUUUGUAUGGUAAGUACUGCGAGAAAGACGAGUCAUUUCGAAAUUUAUUUCUGGUGUUGAUGCGUAUCUGAAAACUUAACACUUUUGCGUGAAGAUGUUUUGUACAUUUGGAAAAAAAUGCUAAAGAUUUAAUUUAGGAAGUGUUGAAGUGAAUUGUUUACCAGGAUGUCUGAGAAAAGUGCUAUUUUUGAUGUCUCAUUUGUUUGUAUCCAUUUCAACUGGAUUCUCUAAUGCAUGUAUUGUGAAAUGUGAUAACCAUUUUUGAAAAUGCAUGAAUGUUCGUGGUUCACCAUUAUCCGGCAUUGUCAUCGACCUAAAAGGCAAUCUUGCAUUGGGAAGAAUCUGGUUGAAACAUAAAUGUUUUAAGUGCAACUUUAUUUGCAGUCAAGUUCUAUGGAAAAGCCUUCAUUGAAAUCUCUUCUGCAGUUCACCUCUCUUCCAUUUCCCUGCGAGGAAGCUCCUCUUUGGCAGCAUUCUUGGGGUGAUAUCGGUAUCAUUCUCCCUCUUCCCACCUGUAAAUGCUAUGCCAUCAAAGAACGGCUUCACUCCGCAUGUUCUAAGAGACGGGACUUUGGGCUCUGCUGGUCGAGGUCUCCGUUUGAACCCUGACUGAAGUCUGUUCUGAAGGAAGAAGAUGGAAGUUCCAACACUUUCAGUGUGUGGCCUUCUCAGACAUGGGGUAGUACCUGUCUUUUUGCUGCUUUUGAUGGCUUGUUCGUGAAUGAUCCCCUUUUUUUAAAUUAUCCACACUUAUGAGGUACUGGGAAGGUAAAACAGUCCAGCUCAGCAAUGUGGCUUUGCUUUCCUUCAGCAAUAUUCUCUCUCUCUCUACUAGAGCUAAUGUCAGGUUUCUGUGCCUUGGAAUUGGGGAUUUGUUUUAAGAGUCUCACUGAAAAACAUGAAGGGAACAGUUUCUGUAGGGUCCCUUUGUCGAAUGCUUUAAAAAUCAAGUUUAAUGUUUCAUUCAUACAUGGUAACAAAUCAGGUCAAAAUUGUUACAUGCACUAAAAUUCAACAUCACAUUAGCAGAUCCUGGGAUGGAACUUUUCAUUUAUUUGCUCCAAAUCUUGGCUACAUAACUGUUUUGACAGGCACAUGUCCCAUGAAAGAAUUAGGACUUUUGUUGGCUCUUGGCUUUAUCAGAUACAUGUAAGUCAGUCUUCAUGUUUAUUUGAUUGAUUGGGCUCAAGUCAGAUACCGCAGGCUUGCCUGUGUCCUGUCCUUAUUCUCUGCUUUCCUCCUCAGUUUCUGUGUUCUUUCUCUUUGCAGUAGUCUUCUUUUUUAAACUCAUGUGCUCCUGGGUCAGUUCGUCACUUUUAUUUUGUAUGUGGAUGGACUGAAAUAAAUAAAGACAAAUUAAACAUUAAA